AGUAGAUCUACAUCAAAAAUAUCUUUCUCCUUCUUGAAAUCAUGUUUCCCUCUUUGAUAAAGACCACAAAAAUCUUUCCCCUUCUCUGCAAUUUCACGUUCCGAUCGCAUUCGUUGAUGUUCUUCCGACGAGCUGCCACCGCUCACCAUCGUAAGUCUCUGCAACCCUCUCUCUGUGUACCCAUCGUUCGUUUUCUCUAUCUGUGAAUACCACUAAACCCUAACUUCAUCUUUCUCUCAAAUCCCUAAAUUGUGAUUUGAUAUUUUUAGUAUAUACUAAGUUGUCAAUUACUAUUUUUAGUCAUUGAUAAGAUUGAUGAAGUAGCAGCUGCAAAAUCUGUGUUUCAUUGAUGAAUUAGUAGCUGCAGGAUCUGUUUUUAGUCAUUGAAAGACUAAUCAAUUAUAUGCUAAGUUGUUAACUUAACCAUAGAUCCAACCAUUAACCAUUAAGUGUUACAAUUAGCUUUUUGCUAUCUCUUUAUUUCUUUUUUCUUUUUUGACACAACUUAUGGUUGUCUCUUGAAUGCAAUAUUGGUGAAAUCCAACUUUUUUUAAUUGAGAAGAGGUUAUUAUUAAUUAACAUUAAUCUCUCAACUAUCUUUAACAACUAUAUGUUUGAUGCUAGCUUGUUUUGGACAUUGAUGCCAAAGACUUUGGAUAAUCCAUGUUAUAGAUUGUGCUUACGAAGUGUCUCGAUAACUAAUCUCUGCAUUAAUAUCAUAGUCAUUAGCUAACUUUAUGAAUCUGGAUUUGGUACAGUGGAAUUGCGUGUUUACUAAAGCUGAACAAAGCUGGGAGGGGUGAUGGUUGAAGAGCAGGUUUCAUCUUUUUGUUCUGAAUCUGUGCAAGUUGAAGAACAAGAAUGACAAGCUUACUAAUCGACUCACAUUUGUUUAGAUUUAUGGAAAUGCAUAAGUAAAUUACAGUGGAGCCUCCCUCCCUGAGACUGAGAGUCUUAUAUUUUGGCUUUUAGCUUGGCAAGUCUUUUGGGGGAAAUUCUUGUAUUUAUUUUCCACGUGCCUACCACAUGAUACUCUGUUACUCUUAUUUCCUUUAAUUUUAGUUUGGGUAGAUAACCGGUUCUUCCGGCUUAUUAAAAAGGAGAUAAUUCGCACUAUGACUUUUUGUAUUUUCUUCAUAUGAGUUUCAUGAGAAGUUUUAAAAAGAAUUUUUAUUGGUACA
rnacentral:lncRNA from 1 species